rnacentral:rRNA from 1 species
AAGCGGCGAACGGGUGAGUAACACGUAGGUGAUCUGCCCAUCAGACGGGGACAACGAUUGGAAACGAUCGCUAAUACCGGAUAGGACGAAAGUUUAAAGAUGCUCCUGGCAUCACUGAUGGAUGAGCCUGCGGCGCAUUAGCUAGUUGGUGGGGUAAAGGCCUACCAAGGCGACGAUGCGUAGCCGACCUGAGAGGGUGAACGGCCACACUGGGACUGAGACACGGCCCAGACUCCUACGGGAGGCAGCAG